ACAGUUCUUGUUAGUACGGAGUUCGAGGUCAUGGACCUUUUUCGCCGUAAUUAUCACUCGGAAAAUUGGCUUAUAAGCUGAUUUUGCAUGUGUCGCAUUUUGGUGUUCGUUCUUUUCAACUUCUGAUUUUUUUAAAAUCUGUAUGAUAUUUGAAGGUCUGAGGACUUCUGUAUUUUAAAGUGAAAUUUGCGCGGAAGUAAACCAUUUGCAACUGUGUUUGAGAAGUCGAGGAAAUUGUAUUAUUUUUUAAACAAAUUUUUCUCGAAAACAAGUGUAAUCAUAUUUCAAGGUGAAUUAUUAUUUGCUCUUUAUAGUGACUGUGCUGGGCAUGCGAUUUUCGGAAUUGUAGCAUACGGACGUUUAUAAGUAGAAUAAUAAUUAGAACAAGAAAUUGUUUAAUAUUGUAUUCGAAGUUCAUAGUAAACUGUGGAGCAGAUAUAAAAAUAAGUCGUAAACAUUCCAAUGGCUGGAGCCAAUCACAAAACGUUUUCCUAUCAAGCUUAGUGCCCAGUCGUGGUCACCAAGUAUUUAUUUUAUUCAGUCUCGUUGCUAGUGUUUCAGUAGACCCUUAAUUUUUCUUGCAUUUCGUUGUCAGCUUCAGGUACGUCUGUCGUAUUCGUUAGGUAGAUGAUAUUGCUAGUCUCCAUUACGCUGUGUAUUAAAGUGAAGUUACUGACAAACACUGAAUCUGAAGUGAGAUUAGCUUGGAUUAUGGGAACGAUCCGAUGGAAGAAAAAGUGUUUGGAAGUUCGGCGUUGAGGUUAUCAGUACUGUGUUAAAAACGAGUUCGUGUAUUUCGUGUAUUGGAUUUCAUAUAGUGGAUGGAGGUUGAUGCAGCACGUGCCAGCCAGCCCUGAACUGUCAUUGGCCUACCGUUUGGAGGGGUCACCCGAAUGAGAUUAGUUGUGUACACCUGGAUGAAUGGCGGUUGAUCUAACAGCGAUAGCACAUCCAUGUCAGGCAAACGUCGAUCCAGGAUGUGUGCAGCCUUCAAUCUCAUUAGGUGGCCCCUUCAUUUAACAAGGGUGCUUCCUAGAUAAUGGCUCAUGAUAAUGGAUAAUGAACAACCCCAUCAGGAGCUGGUGAAAUGUGUGGUGGUGGGAGACACUGCUGUGGGCAAGACACGUCUCAUCUGUGCUCGGGCAUGCAACAAACAUGUCUCACUGUCUCAGCUUCUAACAACCCACGUACCAACAGUCUGGGCCAUAGACCAGUACCGUAUUUACAAGGAUGUAUUGGAGCGUUCAUGGGAGGUGGUUGAUGGCGUGAAUGUUUCAUUGCGGUUGUGGGACACAUUUGGUGAUCAUGAGAAGGAUAGACGAUUUGCAUAUGGCAGGUGUGUAUGAAGGCACAGGCUAGUAAGUUAAAAGUUUUUAACAAGUUACG